rnacentral:rRNA from 1 species
GUGGGGAAUCUUGCGCAAUGGGCGAAAGCCUGACGCAGCCAUGCCGCGUGAAUGAUGAAGGUCUUAUGAUUGUAAAAUUCUUUCACCGGGGACGAUAAUGACGGUACCCGGAGAAGAAGCUCCGGCUAACUUCGUGCCAGCAGCCGCGGUAAUACGAAGGGGGCUAGCGUUGCUCGGAAUUACUGGGCGUAAAGGGCGCGUAGGCGGACAGCUUAGUCAGAGGUGAAAGCCCAGGGCUCAACCUUGGAAUUGCCUUUGAUACUGGCUGUCUUGAGUUUGGGAGAGGUGAGUGGAACUCCGAGUGUAGAGGUGAAAUUCGUAGAUAUUCGGAAGAACACCAGUGGCGAAGGCGACUCACUGGCCCAAUACUGACGCUGAGGCGCGAAAGCGUGGGGAGCAAACAGGAUUAGAUACCCUUGUAGUCC